rnacentral:rRNA from 1 species
AUUGAACGCUGGCUGCAGGCCUAACACAUGCAAGUCGAACGAGUGGCGGACGGGUGAGUAAUGUCUGGGAAACUGCCCGAUGGAGGGGGAUAACUACUGGAAACGGUAGCUAAUACCGCCUACCAUCGGAUGUGCCCAUGUGGGAUUAGCUAGUAGGUGGGGUAACGGCUCACCUAGGCGACGCUCCCUAGCGGGUCUGAGAGGAUGACCAGCCACACGGGAAAGGAGACAAGGUCCAGACUCCGACGGGAGGCAGAAGUGGGGAAUAUUGGACAAUGGGCGCAAGCCUGAUGCAGCCAGGCCGCGUGUAUGAAGAAGGCCUUCGGGUUGGAAAGUACGUUCAGCGAGGAGGCGUUACUAGCAGAAGAAGCACCGGCUAACUCCGUGCCAGCAGCCGCGGUAAUAC